CCUACGGGUGGCAGCAGUGGGGAAUAUUGCACAAUGGGGGAAACCCUGAUGCAGCGACGCCGCGUGAGUGAAGAAGUAUCUCGGUACGUAAAGCUCUAUCAGCAGGGAAGAAAAUGACGGUACCUGACUAAGAAGCCCCGGCUAACUACGUGCCAGCAGCCGCGGUAAUACGUAGGGGGCAAGCGUUAUCCGGAUUUACUGGGUGUAAAGGGAGCGUAGACGGCAGCACAAGUCUGGAGUGAAAUCCCGGGGCCCAACCCCCGGACUGCUUUGGAAACUGUAUGGCUGGAGUGCAGGAGAGGUAAGUGGAAUUCCUAGUGUAGCGGUGAAAUGCGUAGAUAUUAGGAGGAACACCAGUGGCGAAGGCGGCUUACUGGACUGUAACUGACGUUGAGGCUCGAAAGCGUGGGGAGCAAACAGGAUUAGAUACCCCGUGUAGUC
rnacentral:rRNA from 1 species